rnacentral:rRNA from 1 species
AGUAACACGUGGGCAAUCUGCCCUAAAGACUGGGAUACCACUUGGAAACAGGUGCUAAUACCGGAUAACAACAUGAAUCGCAUGAUUCAAGUUUGAAAGGCGGCGUAAGCUGUCACUUUAGGAUGAGCCCGCGGCGCAUUAGCUAGUUGGUGGGGUAAAGGCCUACCAAGGCAAUGAUGCGUAGCCGAGUUGAGAGACUGAUCGGCCACAUUGGGACUGAGACACGGCCCAAACUCCUACGGGAGGCAGCAGUAGGGAAUCUUCCACAAUGGACGCAAGUCUGAUGGAGCAACGCCGCGUGAGUGAAGAAGGUUUUCGGAUCGUAAAGCUCUGUUGUUGGUGAAGAAGGAUAGAGGCAGUAACUGGUCUUUAUUUGACGGUAAUCAACCAGAAAGUCACGGCUAACUACGUGCCAGCAGCCGCGGUAAUACGUAGGUGGCAAGCGUUGUCCGGAUUUAUUGGGCGUAAAGCGAGCGCAGGCGGAAUGAUAAGUCUGAUGUGAAAGCCCACGGCUCAACCGUGGAACUGCAUCGGAAACUGUCAUUCUUGAGUGCAGAAGAGGAGAGUGGAAUUCCAUGUGUAGCGGUGGAAUGCGUAGAUAUAUGGAAGAACACCAGUGGCGAAGGCGGCUCUCUGGUCUGCAACUGACGCUGAGGCUCGAAAGCAUGGGUAGCGAACAGGAUUAGAUACCCUGGUAGUCCAUGCCGUAAACGAUGAGCGCUAGGUGUUGGGGACUUUCCGGUCCUCAGUGCCGCAGCAAACGCAUUAAGCGCUCCGCCUGGGGAGUACGACCGCAAGGUUGAAACUCAAAGGAAUUGACGGGGGCCCGCACAAGCGGUGGAGCAUGUGGUUUAAUUCGAAGCAACGCGAAGAACCUUACCAGGUCUUGACAUCCUGCGCUACACCUAGAGAUAGGUGGUUCCCUUCGGGGACGCAGAGACAGGUGGUGCAUGGCUGUCGUCAGCUCGUGUCGUGAGAUGUUGGGUUAAGUCCCGCAAC